GACGAACGCUGGCGGCGUGCUUAACACAUGCAAGUCGAACGGUGAAGCGCCUUCCUUUUUGGUGGGUGUGGAUGAGUGGCGAACGGGUGAGUAACACGUGAGUAACCUGCCCCCUUCUUCUGGAUAACCGCAUGAAAGUGUGGCUAAUACGGGAUAUUCUGUGUCUGUCGCAUGAUGGGUCUGGGAAAGAUAUUGUUUCGGUGGGGGAUGGGCUCGCGGCCUAUCAGCUUGUUGGUGGGGUGAUGGCCUACCAAGGCGGUGACGGGUAGCCGGCCUGAGAGGGUGGACGGUCACACUGGGACUGAGACACGGCCCAGACUCCUACGGGAGGCAGCAGUGGGGAAUAUUGCACAAUGGGCGCAAGCCUGAUGCAGCGACGCCGCGUGAGGGAUGGAGGCCUUCGGGUUGUGAACCUCUUUCGCCAGUGAAGCAGGCCUGCCUCGUUUGUGGGUGGGUUGACGGUAGCUGGAGAAGAAGCGCCGGCUAACUACGUG
rnacentral:rRNA from 1 species